CCCCCUCAAACUUGAAAAGAAGGACAGAGCCACACAAGAGGACAGCUCCUUCUGCAGUGCCUCCUCUGGCCUGACUCCUUUAACUCAGUGUUUCAACCUCUGCAUCGUGACUAGAUGACAUGUGAGUGGAGAUACUGACCGCCCCCUGCCCCGCCUUCAUCCCUAGGCUGGUCAUCUGGCUGUGAACCGCUGUGAUUUUUAAAUCUGCCAGUGACUUAGACAAUAACAAAAGGUUGCAUCCAGACUAACUUGGCCCAUGUUAAGAACCCUGGGAGCUCAGCCCACAGAUCUCAAGAUGAGAGUGCAGUGCGCUAUCAAUUUCUACAAUCUCAAAAACAGUGAAAAACAAAACCCCUAUUGCUCCUUGGCUACUUUAUUCUUAUCUGCUGGGUGAUAGCUGAUAGUAAGGUGUUGAGAGCACCCAGAAGAGAAGGAACAGCCCAGCUGUCCAUGGUGGGAGAGGAACAAAGACACCUGCCUUCUCACGAGGUAUUUAGUUUCAUUGCAACACUACUCAGUCUUUUAACUUUUAUUUUCUCUGCCUCCCCUGCCUGAUGAAGAAAGGAGACAGCCUCAGAGCUAUGCCUCCAGACGCAUCAUUCCUCUUGCAACACUGACUGUUUUCACAGCAAGAUGGGCCCUUUAGCUCUCCUCAUGAAAUGUGAGGCUGUGUGCCCUCUCUGCCUUCCUCUGACUACAGAGGACCACUGGAUUCCCCAAGGAAAAACCACAAGUUAAAUGACAGCAGAACAAGACUUUACAGAAUGUAUUUAUGGAGUUGGAAGAGUCAGAAUGCGUUUGCCUAUGAAAAUUUUUUUUGGAACUGAAACAAAACAAAACAAAAAAGCCCAACCAACUUUGAACUUGUUUUCACUAGCCCAGCCGAUGUGCCACUAUAAGCCUUCAAGGGCCUUACCCCAGCAAGGCCUCUGCUUUGGUGCUCUCCAUGACGCAAUCUGUCUCUCUGCAGACACAACUCUAAGGUGUCUCCAGAGCCAAAGUCAGGUGAAGAAAUGGGGUUAUUGUGUGGAUUAUUUUAGGUCAGAAUACAGGCCAAAAAAACAAAACUGGUUCUGUUUGAAAUUGCCUGGCUGCCCUCAUUUUGUCACUUGACUUUACAUGGAGAGAUACUGCUCCAGGAAUUACCCAAAUGACAAAAUAAACAAACAAACAAAUAAAACCGUACAUUCUGCACCAAGAAUAAAUAACGCAAAGUGGAGACUGAGCUUAUUAAUUUUUUCAAAGCCUUCCUUACCUGAAUAUGUUAAUGUGAAUUAAUGUGCUGGACUGGCCCAGAGGAAAAUAAAGUCCUUCUGUAGUUUAUCUUCUAUACCUAAAUUGGCAGAUCUAUGGAAUUCAUGUUUGCAUUACAUGUAAAGUUUUUACAGUUCUUACACCUGGAUAAGGAUCUUUUGACUGGAAAGGUCAAUAUAUUUCAAGGGCUUUGGCUCUGAGAAAGAACGGCUUGGUGGAUUCCAGGUACCAAAUCAUCUGUAAAAUCACAUGCCAAAUCCCAAAAGCUUACUGUCUCCAGGACCACAAACCAAUCAAUUUGGGAGGAAAUUGGCUCAAAUAACAUCAACACCCGUAAUGCCAAUGGCCAAACUCUAGAUGGUGAAUGUGAAAUCUUAAGUGGAAUCUGCUCCCAGGCCAAGACAAUACAACCAAAUCAUCUGGAUGCAAGUCAAGCUAUGAGGAAUGACAGCACCUGUAUCCUCCACUUGCCCAGGAAGUUUCCGGAAUCCACCUGCUCUAGCCCAUCUGUACCCCAGAUCCCCACUUUUUCUUGCUAUGCAUCUGCAUGCCAUCAUCUAGUUCAGCAAAAGACCUUCUGAAGACUAUCUGCGCAGAAGUCACCUGAAGAUAGUAUUAAUAACUAAGAAACAGUUUUUCAGUCUCAAAUAACUUUCUUCCUUUAUACAAAAAAAGGUUAUUAAAAACAUUUUUACUCCACAGAUGGAGACAUUAAAGCCCAGAUAAGACGUGCUGAAUAAUAGAAAGAACAUGAAUUUAUUGGCAGAAAGACCUGAGUUCAAAUGUGGGUGUCAGUAACUCUGCGGCUUUGGACAAAUUAUUAAACCUCAUUAAAUCUCUGUUUUCUCAUCUGGAGAUUGAGACCAGUAGUACCAACUUUCCAGGGCUGAUAUAGAGCCGAAAUUAAAAUGUCUGUGAAGUGCCUAACACAAUGGCUGGCAUCUUAUUAGAUUUAAUAAAUGUGAGUUCCCUCUUCCCUUGCCCACUAUAUGGCAGAGAUGUAAUUCAAAAGCAGGGAGGUGGGCCUCCAAACCCAAGUUCUUGGCACAUCUGUAAUGAGAACUUGUCUGAGCUGCUCCUCCACCACUGUGGUGAUACAAUCAGAUUGGCUGAACUUGAAUGAUUCUUUCCUUUAUACUGGCAAACCACUCUCUAUUAUUUUAUGUAUUUAGCCCAGAUGUAAAUCUUGUACAAGUCAAAAUCAAAAUAUAUAAAUCAUGCAUCUCCCAGUGCAUUCUAAUGUGCCUGCAGUACAGCCUGAUCAUAAAAAUAUCAGUCAUAGACCUACUCAGAAAAAAGGUUUAACAUUGGCAAAAGAUUAUAGAGUAAAUACUGGGCUUCAGGUUCUAGGGAAUUUGCGAAAAGCCAAUAAGACAUAGGGAACACCAAUAGCCUUUCUUGUGCUAAAUCUCUCUCACAGUCCCCCUGUUUUGAAUCAGGCCAUGUCUUCCCCUGGGAAGAAAAGAAAUGCAAGUUCACAAAAAAUGUUCUUGUGAAAAGUUGUAAGCUGCAUUUACAACUGGGGAAGAUUUCAGUCUCAGUUGUUUUCUUGCUGGUCAUAGAUAUAUUUGUCCUUUGCUUGCUAUGGAGAAAGAUUCUGAACUUUCAGAAAAAACUUCCAAGUCUAGACUCCAAAGAAUAUAGUUUAUCUUACUAUGGCAUUUAUUUUGCAGACAGUUCCCUCUCCAACACAUGAGUCUAUACAAAUGGUCUCACCUGGCAACAUAUUUCCCAGCCCAUGCACCCCUCCCCUAUCCCUGAUGCCCUAAGGACACUGCAGAGACAGCUGUGGGUACAAUGAAAAAGUGCAAACUUGGAGUAAUGAGAUCAGCAUCGAGUUCUAACUCUGCACUUUUCUCUCUGACUUUGUACAUGUCACCUCAAUUCUAUGAGUUUUGACUUUUGUCAUCUCUAUAAUGGGGACAUUAGCUGACUACCAGGUGUUCCACCUGAAAGCUCUGUAAAAGAAAGCACAUUGUGUUAUAUAAAUUUUUAAAAUUAGAAUUUAGAGAGCAGAAACUGAAGAACUGUAUGUUCAGCUGGUAUUUUCCAUUUUUAAAUUAAAAUUCAUACUUGCUACUAGUCUG
rnacentral:lncRNA from 1 species